UUGUGCCUGGUUCUGCGUGAGAUGUCAACAUCACUCCAAACCACGACAACCUUGAAAGAGAGAGAAGCAAACAAAUUAUUCUUUUUCUUCUUCUUCACCUCCACAGUGCUUGUGCAAAGUAGGGUUUGUUUCAGAUUUUUGGCUAAAUUUGGCAAAAUGCGGCUUUUUAAUUAUAUAUACUCUAUUUUAGCAAAACCCAUGUUUCUUUUCCUUUUUCCCCCAUUUUCCAUUUACAGAAAUGCUUUAUGAUCAGUAGAACACUUGCAGAAGAUCUGCAGAAUCGAAAGAUUUUUGUGUCUGAAGAGAAAACGACCGUGGACUGAUAAAUUGGCUUGUUUGAUGUAAAGGGUCGGAUUUUCCCAGAAAAUGAUGAGAAAGAAAAUUCCUGAUCAAGAAGAUUUACAGGACAAGGGCUGAGCUCUAAUGGCUCUCUGUGUUUUCUCAAGUACUCUUCAAAUUAUCCUCUGAUUUGCAGCUGCAUAAGUGAGAAGUUGAAUAAACAGUAAAGCUUUCUCACCAUGACGGACCAAUACCGCAUGUUUAUAGAAACCAUAGCAUCUGCAGCAUUGUGAUUGUGCUGAAGAAAACUCUAUACUAUGCAAAACAAUUGCUUUUCUCAUAUAUUAUUUAGUCUUACAUCUGUUCCCACACUUCCAAUUAAAGACAUUCAUAUCCCUCCUCACUGAACCU